rnacentral:lncRNA from 1 species
UAACAUUGAUUUGACUCCCGGCAAGAACACGUAUGCGCGUGACUCACGCGCAACGGCGCGAAAGCCGUUGCUUGUUCUUUCGCGCUAGGCGCUCAGUCCGUUGCUUGUUUGCUCCUACGAUUUGGCUUUGGCUAGCUAGCUGCGGUUUCACUCUCGUAUAGGGGUGGCAUUCCCGUUCCAAGUCGAGUUUCAUAUUCAGUAGUAGACUUGCUUUUAGGAAAGCAGAUGGCACUUUUCCACUGUCAGUAUAGUGUAGUGAGUGCUCCGGCUUCUUGCUUCUUCCGUUCCGUCCCCCCGCAAGUAGUCUUCUUUCCUCCACUCGCCUAGUGGUUUGUAGGCAAGUCGGCUCGAAAGGGACACGUGUAGUUGGUAGUUUUUGGUAGAAGUCGUCAAAGUAGUAUUCGCCUAGUCAGGGGCUUAGGGGGCCGGGCUGGUGAGAAGUAGUAGGAGACAGAAGCCUGAGACCACUAGCGGCUUACGGAAACCAACUUGCCUCAACAAGAGUGCUUUUUGCUUUGAGCUUUUUUUACUUCCCUUCCGGCUUCCUUAGUUUGCUUGCCUGACGGUCCUCUUCCCCCGGCAUCUGUCCCACUUGUAGUAGGUUGUCGGGGCGCGAAUCCGUUGCUUCUUCUGUCAGCGGCUUAGUUUUCUUCAAGUUCUUGCUUCGCCUGACGGUUGCGUUUUCAGUAUGCUUCUUUCAUUCCGGCUUUACGUGAUAGGGGUGCUACAGCUAUCGCUAGCCCUGUAGUUUUCCAGCUGCUCUUCGGCUUGAUUCAAGAUGUAGGGAAUGCUUGAUAGUGGAGUGAGGAACGUAAUAGUCGAUAGAUACGAACUACACGGAGCAAAAUCAAUCCCGACUCACACUUUUGGUUUUGAGAUUAGGAUUAGGUUCUUUGAGUUGGUUUGAGACAGAAGCAAGUAGUCCAACUCGAUUCCUGGCUGACCGCUGAAAACAGGCCGAAAAGUAAGUGGUGUGAGCUGUCCGAUUCCGGCUGGAGUAGUUUGCUGCUAAAUGAAUACGUCCCUACUUCCUAUUAGCAAUCGACAAGUUAGAACCCGAAAAAGAAAAGAUACUAGAAAGAGACAAGAUAACAGAACCUGAAAACCCACCUUUAUUCGUAUGAUUCUUUCGUGACUCUGACGGUUGCUUGGCUAUUGCGGAAAGUAACUUGGUCUAUCUCAACAGGCACUGGACGAGAUACACACCACGACUCUAUUAGUCUGAGUCUGAUAGUAGAGUGCUUUGUAUAGUAGUUACUAUUGUCAUGUUUUAGUAAACAGAAGAAGUAGAGUUCAUUAAGAGUGCCUCUGAUUGUCUUUAAAG